AUACUUUUGAAAGUGCUGAAAGUGUAACAGACCUACACUACAGUCAUCGCGUCGUGUUCCGUCGGGACGGUACGUUUCCCAACCUCAAACAACAUCGCUUUAAUAACUUUAAUUAACAAACGGAAUUGCAUUAUUUUGUAAUCGCAAGUGUCGUAUUUCGCACGCCUCAAAAUGUCUUACAUGCUAUCGCAUUUGGAAAACGGCUAUCAAGUCGAUCAAGCCAUUCUAUCUGAGGAAGACAGAGUCGUGGUGAUUCGCUUUGGGCACGAUUGGGAUCCGAUGUGUAUGAAGAUGGACGAAGUUCUCUAUAAUAUCGCAGAAAAAGUCAAGAAUUUUGCCGUUAUUUACUUGGUGGAUAUCACAAAAGUGCCAGAUUUCAAUAAAAUGUAUGAGCUGUACGACCCAUGUACAGUAAUGUUCUUCUUUAGAAACAAGCACAUCAUGAUAGAUUUGGGUACGGGAAACAAUAACAAAAUUAAUUGGACAUUGGAAGACAAACAGGAAAUGAUCGACAUCAUUGAGACGGUUUAUAGAGGUGCAAGAAAAGGUCGAGGUUUAGUUGUUUCUCCUAAAGAUUACUCUACUAAAUAUCGAUAUUAAUGCUAUAUUUAUUUCAAGGCGAGCUGUUACAUGGAAAAAAUCAGAUGUAUCUGAUUUUGAGUGGACAAUGCAUUAGGUGUUCUCAUAUACUGGCUCAACUGGUGGUGGUUUGUCUACGAGAAUGCAAGAUAAUGAAUUUUGGAAAAGUAUACACUAAACAUAGUAUAUUGUAAGAGAUACUUACAAGUUUUUAAGAAAAGAAUAUCUAUCGCUAUUAACGUUCCUGUUCUGCCAAUCCCUGCACUGAAAAGUAAUGAUAUUUUCUUUUAUUAAGAAGUAUAA